ensembl:lncRNA
UCAACUGUGAUACAAACGCCAUGGUGGUGAGAAAACUAAAACAGGUUUGAUGGAUCUUCCUCUAAAGUUAAUUCCAAACUACUGCCCAUCUGGCCUGCUUUUUGGAGAGCUGAACCCAGCUUUUAGGAGUAACUCAGUGAAGUCUUGCACUUUUUUGACCCAUACAAGGGAGACAGUUCCAUUCUUGGUGUGGGAAGGUCCUGUCUACCUCUGAGGCUGCACCCACACUGCUCAACCCAGGGCUGGGGCUCCUUUAGCCUUUCUGUCCCUGAGUAAUUGCUCUUUAUUUAUUUAUUUAUUUAUUAUCAUUUUUUAAAAUAUAUCUCCUUUUUCCCAUUCAGGUUGCCCCAGUGAAGAAGAGCUGGUGAGAGGAGGCCUCACCUGGUACUGGACUGCUUGGCAUGAAAAUGACAAUACACUGUUGUUAUUUAGUGCACCUGAUGUGAUAGUCCUUACAGCCGUUCUUUGCUUCAGUCGUUUACAAGCCCUGAUUUUAGUCCAAAACAAGCUUCCUUGAAAUAAAAUAAUCAUUUUCCAGUCUUCCUGUAGAAGCCAAAAAUAUUUUAAGUUGGCCUGGUCUGGCCUAAACACAAGGUGGGGAGGGGGUUGGUAUGUUGGGGACAUUUUAGUAAUGAGAGGAAGAAUGUGAAAGGAAGGAUUAAACCCGGUGUUUUAUGUGUAUUCAUUGAGUCAAUUUAUAAGGUGCCUUUUGCAAAAUAUCUUGAGUGCUGCAUAAAAAACCACAAAGCAAAAUAUUUGAAAAAUCUGGAUGCAAAGCCAACACGUCCCAGAGUACAGCCAGGCAGCGGAGGAGAACCUGGCACCAGGCGAAGUUCUCUAACCACUGGGCACCAGCAGAAGGACAUCCGUGGCUGUGGGGUGAGUCUUGGAAGAGAGGUGGUGAUAAGAAUCAUGAAUCCCUGUCUUCGUUGGGAUCCUGACUGAGAAGCACGGGGCAGCAGCACCCACAUGGUGUGAGAAAGGCAGCACCACCUGGCUUUCUGUCGCCUGGCUUUCAGGUAAUAUUUAGAGACCGUCCUUGCCUUGAGGACUUUAUUAGCCAAGAGCAGAGCUGAUUUACAGCCUGAUUUCUUUAGAAGCAUUUGUGUGCCCAGAGCAGAGCGAUACUUGUGUGGAAGAUGUUAGGCUAGGGGCUGAUACUUGGCACUGCUGCAAAGCAUUGCCGCAGGAGCUGGUUUGCAUGCAGGAGGAUUUGACCUUGAACUUUCUCCUGCAGUUCAAGCCAACAUCCUCUACCCUCUAGGCCUGAAAAAUGUUCCUCCCCCUUGUUUUAAAAAUACAUUUGUUAUGUCUAAUAUAUCUGGCCAGAGCACUGCUACAGACUUUUACCCGCAAGAGCUAUGUGGGUCAGGGGUGGGGGGUGAUGUGAUUUCCGAGUGGCUCUAGCUGGGCUCACUGAAGUCCCCAGUGCACUUACACCAGCAGAGCUGUACUGCUCUGGGGACAGCUUCCUGCGGUCACAGGGACGGUGGGUUUACUGUCCCAGUGUGCAGCACAGCCCUGAGAGGCUUCCUGGGCUCACACUAGGCUGUAGCAACCCCAGGCUAGCUGCGACAUCCACUCUGCUUGUUUAAGAGUGGGUUUGAAAACUGGCUGAGAUACCCAGAGCUUGGACCUGCUCUGAUUCAAAGGACCUGCCAAGGAGAUCAGGCUCUGGCUGUCUGUCCAGCACCGGAGCAGUGCCUCAGAUCCACCCAUAGCAUGGGAACCAAGCCUUGUAUUUGAGCUGCAGGGCUCCAGACUUCAUGCAGGGCAUGUAUUCAUGCCUAACUAGCAUGGCUAGCAGACGAUCCCAUUUUGGGUACAAGCUCAGAUCAUGACCUCCGUGAUCCUAUGAGCUGGGGGUGCAACAGGGCACUGAAGCCGUGACAGGGGAGUUGUGCUGUCUGAGCUGGGUGCUGGGGCUGGAGUAUCUGGUCACCAGCUGGAGCAUCUCAGCACUUAGCUCCUGCAGCUCCCUGCCUGUGGGAUCAAGUGCCCAACCUCCUCCACCCUGCUGUCAGGUUUCACAGGGAAUGCCAGGACCCUGCCAGGUGCCUGACUGAGCCGUGACAUGCAUCCCUGUGCCCCAUCUCACCUGCUCCCCCAGUGGAGGAUGAUCUCUUGCAGUUCUUCCCAAUUCAGACCAAUGCAGUAAACUGGUUUACCAAGUACUUCAUGACAUUCAC